rnacentral:rRNA from 1 species
UGGGGAAUAUUGCACAAUGGGCGCAAGCCUGAUGCAGCCAUGCCGCGUGUAUGAAGAAGGCCUUCGGGUUGUAAAGUACUUUCAGCGGGGAGGAAGGGAGUAAAGUUAAUACCUUUGCUCAUUGACGUUACCCGCAGAAGAAGCACCGGCUAACUCCGUGCCAGCAGCCGCGGUAAUACGGAGGGUGCAAGCGUUAAUCGGAAUUACUGGGCGUAAAGCGCACGCAGGCGGUUUGUUAAGUCAGAUGUGAAAUCCCGGGCUCAACCUGGGAACUGCAUCUGAUACUGGCAAGCUUGAGUCUCGUAGAGGGGGGUAGAAUUCCAGGUGUAGCGGUGAAAUGCGUAGAGAUCUGGAGGAAUACCGGUGGCGAAUGCGGCCCCCUGGACGAAGACUGACGCUCAGGUGCGAAAGCGUGGGGAGCAAACAGG